CCAAUCGAACUCGGAGAUAGCUGGUUCUCCCCGAAAUAGCUUUAGGGCUAGCCUCAUGUUAGAUAUCCGGAGGUAAAGCACUGAAUGGCCUAGCGUCCGAGAGGAUAGCGAAGCCUAUCAAACUAAGAAUGCCGGAAUAUUGAUGCAUGGGAGUCAGACAGUGUGAGAUAAAUCUCAUUGUCAAAAGGGAAACAGCCCAGAUCUACAGCUAAGGUCCCAAAUUGUAUCUAAGUGGAAAACGAUGUGGAAAUACGCAGACAACCAGGAUGUUGGCUCAGAAGCAGCCACUCAUUUAAAGAGUGCGUAAUAGCUCACUGGUCGAGCGUCUCUGCGCGGAAAAUUUAACGGGGCUAAGAUACAAACCGAAGCUUAGGCUGCACUUUUAGUGCGGGGUAGGGGAGCGUUGUGUAAGCGGAGAAACGAUAGCGUAAGCGGUCGUGGAGUUUACAGAAGUGAGAAUGCCGGAAUGAGUAGCGCGAAUGAUGUGAGAAUCAUCAUGGCCGGAAACCUCAGGUUUUUGGAGGAAGGUUCGUCCGCUCCAAGUUAGGCGGGAGCUAAGGUGAGGCCGAAAGGCGUAGCCGAUGCACAGACGGUAGAGAUUCCGUCCCCACCGAAAGAUUUAAGCGCAGGGACACUUUUAGAAGGUCGGAGCCAGGUGUUGGUUCUGGUAGAGAUCGAGGGAAAUUUAGUACCGAAGUCCGGCUGGAUAAGAGGCGAGAAAAGCUGCGUGUAUAUCUAAGGUGCCCGUACCGCAAACCGACACAGGUAGGUAGGAAGAAGAUUCUAAGGCCAACGGGAGAAGGGUUGUUAAGGAACUCGGCAAGUUGACCCCGUAACUUCGGAAUAAGGGGUGCUCAUGAAAGUGAGCCGCAGAGAAUAGGCCCAGGCAACUGUUUACCAAAAACACAGGUUUGUGCUAAAUCGAAAGAUGACGUAUACGAGCUGACGCCUGCCCGGUGCUGGAAGGUUAAAAGGAGAUGUGCAAGCAUUGAAUUGAAGCCCCAGUGAACGGCGGCCGUAACUAUAACGGUCCUAAGGUAGCGAAAUUCCUUGUCAGGUAAGUUCUGACCCGCAUGAAAGGCGUAAUGAUCUGGGCACUGUCUCAACAGCCCGCCCGGCGAAAUUGUAGUACCGGUGAAGAUGCCGGUUACCCGCGACAAGACGGAAAGACCCCAUGGAGCUUUACUGUAGCCUAAUAUUGGGUUUCGGUGUUGCAUGCACAGGAUAGAUGGGACGCUAGGAAGUGAGUGCUUUGGCAUUCAUGGAGCGGCCGUUGGGAUACCAUCCUUGCGACAUUGGAAUUCUAACCUGCGCCUUUGAAUCAAGGCGGGGGACAUUGUUAGGUGGGCAGUUUGACUGGGGCGGUCGCCUCCUAAAGAGUAGCGGAGGCGUUCAAAGGUUGGCUCGUCCUGGACGGAAACCAGGAGAGAGAGUGCAAACGCAAAAGCCAGCCUGACUGCGAGACUGACGGGUCGAGCAGAGACGAAAGUCGGAGUUAGUGAUCCGGUGGUAUGUGAGUGGAAAUGCCAUCGCUCAACGGAUAAAAGUUACCCUGGGGAUAACAGGCUGAUCUCCCCCAAGAGUCCACAUCGACGGGGAGGUUUGGCACCUCGAUGUCGGCUCAUCGCAUCCUGGGGCUGUAUUCGGUCCCAAGGGUUUGGCUGUUCGCCAAUUAAAGCGGUACGCGAGCUGGGUUCAGAACGUCGUGAGACAGUUCGGUCCCUAUCUGUCGUGGGCGCAGGAUAUUUGAAAGGCGCUGUCCCUAGUACGAGAGGACCGGGAUGGACGAACCUCUGGUGCACCAGUUGUCACGCCAGUGGCACAGCUGGGCAGCUAUGUUCGGAUCGGAUAAACGCUGAAAGCAUCUAAGCGUGAAGCCGGCCUUAAGAUAAGAUAUCCCACUGAGAUAAUCAGGUAAGACCCCUUGAAGACUACAAGGUUGAUAGGCACAAUGUGUAAGUGGCGUGAGUCAUUGAGCAAGCGUGUACUAAUAGGUCGAGGGCUUGACCCC
rnacentral:rRNA from 1 species